AUCAGGUGGUUUGGGCAACUAGAACACAAAUUCUUGAAUCUCUCCUAGUAUUCAUAGAGACUCUCCCUAGACUGUUGCUUGAUUCUAAAAAUCUCCUUUCUUAUGGU